rnacentral:rRNA from 1 species
CAGCAGCCGCGGUAAUACGUAGGGGGCAAGCGUUAUUCGGAAUUACUGGGCGUAAAGGGCGUGUAGGCGGCUUUGUAAGCCUGAUGUGAAAGCCACCGGCUCAACCGGUGGAUUGCGUUUGGAACUGCAGAGCUUGAGUGAUGGAGAGGAAGGUAGAAUUCCUGGUGUAGGGGUGAAAUCUGUAGAAAUCAGGAGGAAUACCAAUGGCGAAGGCGGCUUUCUGGACUGACCCUGACGCUGAGGUGCGAAAGCGUGGGUAGCAAACAGGAUUAGAUACCCUGGUAGUCCACGCCCUAAACGAUGGAUACUAGGUGUGGGAGGAAUCAACCCCUUCCGUGCCGCAGCUAACGCGUGAAGUUUACCGCCUGGGGAGUACGGUCGCAAGACUAAAACUCAAAGGAAUUGACGG